rnacentral:rRNA from 1 species
GGUUAAGCGACUAAGCGUACACGGUGGAUGCCCUGGCAGUCAGAGGCGAUGAAGGACGUGCUAAUCUGCGAUAAGCGUCGGUAAGGUGAUAUGAACCGUUAUAACCGGCGAUUUCCGAAUGGGGAAACCCAGUGUGAUUCGUCACACUAUCAUUAACUGAAUCCAUAGGUUAAUGAGGCGAACCGGGGGAACUGAAACAUCUAAGUACCCCGAGGAAAAGAAAUCAACCGAGAUUCCCCCAGUAGCGGCGAGCGAACGGGGAGCAGCCCAGAGCCUGAAUCAGUGUGUGUGUUAGUGGAAGCGUCUGGAAAGGCGUGCGAUACAGGGUGACAGCCCCGUACACAAAAAUGCACAUACUGUGAGCUCGAUGAGUAGGGCGGGACACGUGGUAUCCUGUCUGAAUAUGGGGGGACCAUCCUCCAAGGCUAAAUACUCCUGACUGACCGAUAGUGAACCAGUACCGUGAGGGAAAGGCGAAAAGAACCCCGGCGAGGGGAGUGAAAAAGAACCUGAAACCGUGUACGUACAAGCAGUGGGAGCACGCUUAGGCGUGUGACUGCGUACCUUUUGUAUAAUGGGUCAGCGACUUAUAUUCUGUAGCAAGGUUAACCGAAUAGGGGAGCCGAAGGGAAACCGAGUCUUAACUGGGCGUUAAGUUGCAGGGUAUAGACCCGAAACCCGGUGAUCUAGCCAUGGGCAGGUUGAAGGUUGGGUAACACUAACUGGAGGACCGAACCGACUAAUGUUGAAAAAUUAGCGGAUGACUUGUGGCUGGGGGUGAAAGGCCAAUCAAACCGGGAGAUAGCUGGUUCUCCCCGAAAGCUAUUUAGGUAGCGCCUCGUGAAUUCAUCUCCGGGGGUAGAGCACUGUUUCGGCAAGGGGGUCAUCCCGACUUACCAACCCGAUGCAAACUGCGAAUACCGGAGAAUGUUAUCACGGGAGACACACGGCGGGUGCUAACGUCCGUCGUGAAGAGGGAAACAACCCAGACCGCCAGCUAAGGUCCCAAAGUCAUGGUUAAGUGGGAAACGAUGUGGGAAGGCCCAGACAGCCAGGAUGUUGGCUUAGAAGCAGCCAUCAUUUAAAGAAAGCGUAAUAGCUCACUGGUCGAGUCGGCCUGCGCGGAAGAUGUAACGGGGCUAAACCAUGCACCGAAGCUGCGGCAGCGACGCUGAUGCGUUGUUGGGUAGGGGAGCGUUCUGUAAGCCUGUGAAGGUGUACUGUGAGGUAUGCUGGAGGUAUCAGAAGUGCGAAUGCUGACAUAAGUAACGAUAAAGCGGGUGAAAAGCCCGCUCGCCGGAAGACCAAGGGUUCCUGUCCAACGUUAAUCGGGGCAGGGUGAGUCGACCCCUAAGGCGAGGCCGAAAGGCGUAGUCGAUGGGAAACAGGUUAAUAUUCCUGUACUUGGUGUUACUGCGAAGGGGGGACGGAGAAGGCUAUGUUGGCCGGGCGACGGUUGUCCCGGUUUAAGCGUGUAGGCUGGUUUUCCAGGCAAAUCCGGAAAAUCAAGGCUGAGGCGUGAUGACGAGGCACUACGGUGCUGAAGCAACAAAUGCCCUGCUUCCAGGAAAAGCCUCUAAGCAUCAGGUAACAUCAAAUCGUACCCCAAACCGACACAGGUGGUCAGGUAGAGAAUACCAAGGCGCUUGAGAGAACUCGGGUGAAGGAACUAGGCAAAAUGGUGCCGUAACUUCGGGAGAAGGCACGCUGAUAUGUAGGUGAAGUCCCUCGCGGAUGGAGCUGAAAUCAGUCGAAGAUACCAGCUGGCUGCAACUGUUUAUUAAAAACACAGCACUGUGCAAACACGAAAGUGGACGUAUACGGUGUGACGCCUGCCCGGUGCCGGAAGGUUAAUUGAUGGGGUUAGCGCAAGCGAAGCUCUUGAUCGAAGCCCCGGUAAACGGCGGCCGUAACUAUAACGGUCCUAAGGUAGCGAAAUUCCUUGUCGGGUAAGUUCCGACCUGCACGAAUGGCGUAAUGAUGGCCAGGCUGUCUCCACCCGAGACUCAGUGAAAUUGAACUCGCUGUGAAGAUGCAGUGUACCCGCGGCAAGACGGAAAGACCCCGUGAACCUUUACUAUAGCUUGACACUGAACAUUGAGCCUUGAUGUGUAGGAUAGGUGGGAGGCUUGGAAGUGUGGACGCCAGUCUGCAUGGAGCCGACCUUGAAAUACCACCCUUUAAUGUUUGAUGUUCUAACGUUGACCCGUGAUCCGGGUUGCGGACAGUGUCUGGUGGGUAGUUUGACUGGGGCGGUCUCCUCCUAAAGAGUAACGGAGGAGCACGAAGGUUGGCUAAUCCUGGUCGGACAUCAGGAGGUUAGUGCAAUGGCAUAAGCCAGCUUGACUGCGAGCGUGACGGCGCGAGCAGGUGCGAAAGCAGGUCAUAGUGAUCCGGUGGUUCUGAAUGGAAGGGCCAUCGCUCAACGGAUAAAAGGUACUCCGGGGAUAACAGGCUGAUACCGCCCAAGAGUUCAUAUCGACGGCGGUGUUUGGCACCUCGAUGUCGGCUCAUCACAUCCUGGGGCUGAAGUAGGUCCCAAGGGUAUGGCUGUUCGCCAUUUAAAGUGGUACGCGAGCUGGGUUUAGAACGUCGUGAGACAGUUCGGUCCCUAUCUGCCGUGGGCGCUGGAGAACUGAGGGGGGCUGCUCCUAGUACGAGAGGACCGGAGUGGACGCAUCACUGGUGUUCGGGUUGUCAUGCCAAUGGCACUGCCCGGUAGCUAAAUGCGGAAGAGAUAAGUGCUGAAAGCAUCUAAGCACGAAACUUGCCCCGAGAUGAGUUCUCCCUGACUCCUUGAGAGUCCUGAAGGAACGUUGAAGACGACGACGUUGAUAGGCCGGGUGUGUAAGCGCAGCGAUGCGUUGAGCUAACCGGUACUAAUGAACCGUGAGGCUUAACCUU